GGUUGUGGCUCAGUGGGAGAGCACUCGCCUAGCAAGCAUGAGGCACUGGGUUCAAUCCUCAGCACCA
rnacentral:tRNA from 1 species